UACGGAGGGUGCAAACGUUGCUCGGAAUCAUUGGGCGUAAAGCGCACGUAGGUGGCCUGUUAAGUCGGGUGUGAAAUCCCUGGGCUCAACCCAGGAAGUGCACUCGAAACUGGCGGGCUUGAGUACUGAAGAGGGUCGCGGAAUUCCCGGUGUAGAGGUGAAAUUCGUAGAGAUCAGGAAGAACAUCGGUGGCGAAGGCGCUCUGCUGGACCAUAACUGACACUCAGGGACGAAAGCUAGGGGAGCGAAUGGG
rnacentral:rRNA from 1 species